UAUUGGUAUGAGCUUUCGUGUGUAUGCACACUUCUUCAGAUAUACAUGUGCAUGCACACGAAAGCUCAUACCAAUA